rnacentral:rRNA from 1 species
GGGGAUUCUGGGUAUCUGACACUCCAACUGGGUAACUUGGGGUAUUUCUAAAGCUAAAACUGGCCCCAAAGCUCCGAUUUUUGAAGAGCGCAUCUAUUAGAUUAAAACCAAUCGGGUUCGCGCCCGUCAAUUGGUGACUCUGAAUAACUAUAGCUGAUCGCAUGGUCUUGAACCGGCGACGUGUCUAUCAAGUGUCUGCCUUAUCAACUUUCGAUGGUAGUUUAUGUGCCUACCAUGGUUGUAACGGGUAACGGAGAAUAAGGGUUCGACUCCGGAGAGGGAGCCUGAGAAACGGCUACCACAUCCAAGGAAGGCAGCAGGCGCGCAAAUUACCCACUCUCGGCAUGAGGAGGUAGUGACGAAAAAUAACGAGACCGUACUCUUUGAGGCCGGUUAUCGGAAUGGGUACAAUUUAAACCCGUUAACGAGGAUCUAUGAGAGGGCAAGUCUGGUGCCAGCAGCCGCGGUAAUUCCAGCUCUCAAAGUGUAUAUCGUCAUUGCUGCGGUUAAAAAGCUCGUAGUUGGAUCUGCGCCUCAGGACUUGGUCCGCCCACUGGGCGAGAACUAGGCUCCUGGGCUAGUUCUGCUGGUUUUCUCUACGUUGCCUUCAUCGGUCGCGUAGGGUGGCUAGCGAGUUUACUUUGAAAAAAUUAGAGUGCUUCACGCGGGCUUAUGUCUGAAUACUCGUGCAUGGAAUAAUAGAAUAGGAUCUCGGUUCUAUUUUGUUGGUUUUCUGAUCUGAGAUAAUGGUUAAGAGGGACGGACGGGGGCAUUCGUAUCGCUGCGUGAGAGGUGAAAUUCUUGGACCGUAGCGAGACGUCCGACUGCGAAAGCAUUUGCCAAGAAUGUCUUCAUUAAUCAAGAACGAAAGUCAGAGGUUCGAAGCGUCGAAAUACUCCCCCCCCCA